rnacentral:rRNA from 2 species
GUUAGCGGCGGACGGGUGAGUAACACGUGGGUAACCUGCCCAUAAGACUGGGAUAACUCCGGGAAACCGGGGCUAAUACCGGAUAACAUUUUGAACCGCAUGGUUCGAAAUUGAAAGGCGGCUUCGGCUGUCACUUAUGGAUGGACCCGCGUCGCAUUAGCUAGUUGGUGAGGUAACGGCUCACCAAGGCAACGAUGCGUAGCCGACCUGAGAGGGUGAUCGGCCACACUGGGACUGAGACACGGCCCAGACUCCUACGGGAGGCAGCAGUAGGGAAUCUUCCGCAAUGGACGAAAGUCUGACGGAGCAACGCCGCGUGAGUGAUGAAGGCUUUCGGGUCGUAAAACUCUGUUGUUAGGGAAGAACAAGUGCUAGUUGAAUAAGCUGGCACCUUGACGGUACCUAACCAGAAAGCCACGGCUAACUACGUGCCAGCAGCCGCGGUAAUACGUAUGUGGCAAGCGUUAUCCGGAAUUAUUGGGCGUAAAGCGCGCGCAGGUGGUUUCUUAAGUCUGAUGUGAAAGCCCACGGCUCAACCGUGGAGGGUCGUUGGAAACUGGGAGACUUGAGUGCAGAAGAGGAAAGUGGAAUUCCAUGUGUAGCGGUGAAAUGCGUAGAGAUAUGAAGGAACACCAGUGGCGAAGGCGACUUUCUGGUCUGUAACUGACACUGAUGCGCGAAAGCGUGGGGAGCAAACCGGAUUAGAUACCCUGGUAGUCCACGCCGUAAACGAUGAGUGCUAA